rnacentral:sRNA from 1 species
UCUGAACACUUCACUUUGCCCUGCAAUA